AUUGAACGCUGGCGGAAUGCUUUACACAUGCAAGUCGAGCGGCAGCACGGGGGCAACCCUGGUGGCGAGCGGCGAACGGGUGAGUAAUACAUCGGAACAUGCCCAGUCGUGGGGGAUAACACUUCGAAAGAAGUGCUAAUACCGCAUACGUCCUGAGGGAGAAAGCGGGGGAUCUUCGGACCUCGCGCGAUUGGAGUGGCCGAUGUCAGAUUAGCUAGUUGGUGGGGUAAAGGCCUACCAAGGCAACGAUCUGUAGCUGGUCUGAGAGGAUGAUCAGACACACUGGGACUGAGACACGGCCCAGACUCCUACGGGAGGCAGCAGUGGGGAAUUUUGGACAAUGGGGGCAACCCUGAUCCAGCCAUUCCGCGUGAGUGAAGAGGGCCUUCGGGUUGUAAAGCUCUUUCGGCAGGAACGAAACGGCGAGCUCUAACAUAGCUUGCUAAUGACGGUACCUGAAGAAGAAGCACCGGCUAACUACGUGCCAGCCGCCGCGGUAAUAC
rnacentral:rRNA from 1 species